UCGAUGGCGGCUAUUGUGAGGUUGCAAUGGAAGGGAGCAGAGCAGAGGAAGACGAGAGAAGCUAUUACAAAAUUGGGAUCAUAUUGAUGAAAACUAUACCUGAAUCCAAAACUCCUUUAACCAAAACCAAAUAGUGACGAACGAAGGUUGGCCUCAAAACGAGUAGGACAGGUUUGGUUUUCGGAGUGGUGGAUUCAAAAAGUUUGAUUGAGUUUGGGGGAUAAUUUUCAGCAGGAAAAAGGUCUAAUAAGUAAUCGAAAAAAGCUUGGUAUCCUAGUUUCCAAACAAAAAUCAACCGAUGUAUUAAAAAGUCCGGUAUGUCGUUCAGACCCAAAAA